rnacentral:rRNA from 1 species
AGCAGUAGCCGCGGUAAUACGAGGGGGGCAAGCGUUGUUCGGAAUUAUUGGGCGUAAAGGGCGCGUAGGCGGUUUGGCAAGUUUCGUGUGAAAUCUUCGGGCUCAACUCGAAGUCUGCACGGAAAACUGCCGGGCUUGAGUAUGGGAGAGGUGAGUGGAAUUUCCGGUGUAGCGGUGAAAUGCGUAGAUAUCGGAAGGAACACCUGUGGCGAAAGCGGCUCACUGGACCAUUACUGACGCUGAGGCGCGAAAGCUAGGGGAGCAAACAGGAUUAGAUACCCCGGUAGUCCCUGUCUCUUAUAC